AGAAAUGCAAAUUCUUGCCCCUUCCACCUUCCCAGAAACUCUAGGGGUGGGCCCACUUGUCUGUGUUUUAGAAAGGUAUGGUAGCCAGCCUCCAGCAUGGCCCCCAAUGAUCCCUACCUGGUAUCCCCAUCUUUGGGUAGUUCCAUCCCACAACAAUGGGACUGACUUGUGUAACAAAUAGAAUGUAGCCAAGGGGAUAGAUAGUUUAUGACACCAUAAAAAGUACUGAGACCUCCUUCUUGUCUCUUCCUUGGAUUGCCUGCUAUAGGGAAGCUGGCUGCCAUGUUGUAAGAGCAUUCAAGUAGACCUAUAGAGAGGUGUGGUAAGGAACUGAGGCCUCCAGUCAACAGCCAUCUUGUGAGUGAACCAUCUAGAAAACAGAUCAGCCAAGCCAAGUCCAGACAGCUCAAUGCAAUCUCAAGAAAGAUACCAAGGUGGAGCCCUGUGCUAAUGAGGACAGCAGGGCGUCAGAAUACUGCUCUCCUCUGAUAGAAAGCACCCUGCUGAUCGCUGUACCUGGGCAGAGCCCAGCGCUGUGCACACAGAAACAUCCUGAUCUCACCGACCAGCUCUGCAAUGGGUUCUUUUUGUCCAGUAAUGAACAUGAGAGACCCCACUAACAGACUCACUUAGCUAUUUCUGCAGAAGCCUCGACUCAAGGUCAACUGAUAUGGUUCCAGCCUAGGAACAAGCAAGGCCUGGCAUUCCUUACUCGAGAUUAGAAGCCCAAGACCCCCUCCAGUUUAUACUGGCUCUCAGAGCAAGCCCAUAACCCCUCUCCUCAUCUGAAGAUAACCUCCUGACAUCAGGGGCUGAAUUCUGCCUCCUUCCAGAGUUAAGUCUCCACCUCAAGGGAACAUGGGGUAUAUGUUACAAUAAAUGUUUGCUCAAUGAA